rnacentral:tRNA from 1 species
GCUGAGUUAUUUUGUAGAGAACGGUAUCUUUUCGUGAUACAGGAGGAUUUUCCACUCAGUU